AUGAAGGAGAAGGCCGUGGGCAAUUUGGUGGAGAGAAUUGGGGAGAGUAUUGUUUGGGGUCCAGAACAAGAGGUAUCUCUGCAACGUUUCGAUAACUAUAAUGGUGAAUAUGUGAGAAUUGAAGAUGGAGAAUCCAUGGUUGCUGAAAUUGAUCAGCAAGGAGGAUGGGCAAGCAAACAAGUAACAUUUUAUGCAGAGCUAAUUGAUCUGCAAACUCAUUCCAGAGUUGGUUAUAUGCCAUCAAAGAUGGCUGCACAGAUGGAAGAUGAUGAGUGGGUUUCACAAAAGAAGAUGUUGGCAUUGUUGACUGAACCGACUAUAGUAGCUGAAGAUACUGGGAUUGAUGCAGAUGGAGAGGAGGGAACCCAUGGUGCUAGGAAGAUUGUUGUUGACUGGAAUGUAGUAGAGUUGAAUGAAAAAACAGAUUUGGUCAUUACACCAAUAUCUGACAUUGAUAUGGCCGAAAUGUUUGGCAUUCAAGUUGAUGACAAAGAUAAGGAGAAGGAUGACAGUUCUUUGCCAGCUGAAGGUAACACAGGCCCUAGAAAUGCAAAUGAGGAUGAAGAACACCUGAUGAGAGAGGCUGCAGAUGAUGUGGAUGAUGCAGAUGAUAAUGAGCUGGUUUGUUUGUAUGACAAAGAGAACCCAGUUAUUGAGGUGGGAAAGUUGUGGCCAAGCAUGAAGGAGUUUAAGAUGUCUUUCAGGACCUAUGCAGUGAAAAAAGAGUUUGAUGCCAAGACUAUGUGGACUGAUCGAAAGAAAUUUUAUGCUCGGUGCAAAGGUUAUGAUGGUGGUGGCAAUCCUUGCAAAUGGUACUUGUCUGCCAGACUACAACCUGAUGGAAGUACAGUAAGGGUAAAUCAAAUACCACACCAGCAUACAUGUAUGACCACUUCACAGAGAGUUUCAAAGAUGACAUCACAGCUUUGGGUUACAGAGAAGAUUACUCCUAUUUUAGCCAAGACUCCAAACACUACUGCAAAGAGGCUUAAAGUUGACUUGGAGAAGUUGUACCCCAUCCAGCUGCAAUAUACCACAGUGUGGAAAGCAAAACAAAGGGCCAUGAAAUCAUUGUAUGGUGACUGGGCAAAUACAUUUAGGAUGUUGUAUAGUUUUAAAGCAGAGGUGGAGAAGAGGUCACCUGGGAGUGUAGUGGAGAUAGAUACAGAGGUAACAGAGGAUGGCAAGGUUUUAUUCAGCAAGUUUUUUAUGUGUUUGAAGCCUUGCAUAGAUGGAUUCAAAGCAGGUUGUCGUCCAUAUUUGAGCAUAGACUCAUCUUUUUUGACUGGAAAGUGGAAUGGUCAGUUGGCUGCAUGCAAUGCUUUAGAUGGACACAACUGGAUGUUCCCAAUUGCAAUAGGAAUGUUUCAAUCAGAGACAGAGGCAUCAUGGAUAUGGUUCAUGAUGCAACUGAAAAGAUGCAUAGGGCCAGUUUCUCCUUUGGCCAUCCACACAGAUGCAUGUAAAGGGUUGGAAAAUGCAGUAAAAAGUGUUUUCCCCCAUGCUGAGCAGAGGGAGUGCUUUGGACAUAUGUGGAUGAAUCUGAUAAAAAAAUUCAGAGGAGAUGAAUUUGGGCGUAUGUGGCCAGCAGCAAGAUCCUACACCAGACAGACACAUUCCUAUCACCUUGGUAAGAUAUUGGCAUCAUGUAGUGAUAAUGAAUUUGCUUCAUGGUUGAACACCCACCAUUCUCUGUUGUGGUAUAGAUCAGGUUUUAAUACUGCCAUAAAAUGUGAUCAUAUCAAUAACAACUUGGCAGAAAGUUUUAACAACAAAGUGAAGCAUUUGAAAGACUUGCCUGUGCAUGACAUGGUGGACCAAAUAAGAAUCAUGAUCAUGCAUUUGUGGGAGUUGAGAGGAAAAAUUGCUAAUAUUUUGGAAGGGGACAAGCUUCUAGCAGUGGUACAACAGGUGGUCAACAGGAGUAGAAAUCUUUCACAUUUAUCUGUUGAGAAAUCUUCCUUGUGGGGUGCUGAAGUUAGAGAUACAAAGAGUGGCAAGAGGCAUGUGGUAAAUACUGAGUUGCAUGAGUGCACUUGCCAAGAGUGGCAACACACCGGAAAACCAUGUGAGCAUUCCAUACUUUUUUUGGCAUCUAAACCCAGGUUAAAUAUGCACCCAUAUUUGCAUGAGUAUUAUUCAGUACAAAAAUUCAAAGCUGCAUAUGCAAGUCCAAUUCUUGCACUGACUGACCAAUCUCAGUGGCCUGAGGUGGAAAUAGAAUUUACCUUGUGUCCCCCUGUCACUAGAAGAAAGGCUGGGAGGCCUAAACAGAGCAGAUUCAAAGCUUGGUUUGAGAAAGGUGGUUGUAGUAAGAAGGGGGAAAAGGAAAAGGAAAAGAAUGAUAAGCCCAAAAGGGCUCAAAAAGGUAACAAAAAUAGGUGCAAGUUGUGUGAGGUACUUGGGCACAGAAUUGGUUCAUCCAAGUGCAUCUACACUCCUCAGAGGCCAAAGUAUGUUUAUGUUACUGUUUUUGCAAGUUUUUGA
rnacentral:rRNA from 1 species